GUGUCAGCCGCCGCGGUAAUACAGAGGGUGCAAGCGUUAAUCGGAGUUACUGGGCGUAAAGGGCGCGUAGGCGGUCUUGUAAGUUGGAUGUGAAAUCCCUGGGCUCAACCUAGGAACUGCAUUCAAUACUGUAAGACUAGAAUAUUGUAGAGGGUGGUGGAAUUUCCGGUGUAGCGGUGAAAUGCGUAGAUAUCGUAAGGAAGACCAGUGGCGAAGGCGGGUCUCUGGACAGUUCCUGACGCUGAGGCACGAAGGGCAGGGGAGCAAACGGGAUUAGAUACCCCAGUAGUCC
rnacentral:rRNA from 1 species